UGCUGGAAUAAGCUUAUCUUGUGUGUAAGCAGCGUGUACAGUGAACCAUGAGCAUAUUCUUUCUUCCCUCUGGUCUUCCUGUGGAGCCAGCAUUAAAGUUUACCAGUUAAACGGCCUCCUUUUGCUGCUGUCCAACCGGUGUUUUGUGGCUGUCUGUUGCCCACGCUGCCUCUCUGAGAGUGUUUAACCACAGUGCCCAGCAGUUUUUGUGCAGCAGGAACAAAAAGGAUUUUGUGGUGAUAAAAUAUGGAAAACAACAACACACAACAUGCAUAAGAUCAUUUUGAGCGUGAUAUAUAAUAGAGGAAACCACUAGCAUCAUGGUUCAUACCGCAUAUACUCUUCAACACGUAUUAGUGUGUUGUGGAAACCAUGUGAACUGUUUCCAGUCUCUAACAGUUUAACCAGUUUGAUGUGGAAAAACUGGCCCAUACAGAGCCCUGACCUUAACUCCAUUCAGAACACACCUGUUGGAAGAACUGGAACAGUGAUUGUGAGUCAAGCCAGAAAACCUAUCAUCAAGACAUUAAGACUUUCGGAGAGUGGAUAUUAAUUCUUGUUGCCAGCUUCCAAGACCUGGUGAAAAGCCAAAAGAAAUUUGAGGUUUUUAAAGCAGCAGAUUUACAUACAUUUUUCAGUUGACAUGAGACUAAUGUCAAGCUGUCCUCAUACUUUUGUUCCCAUUAGUGUAAAGCAUAAUUUAUGGUGCCACAAUUGUGUCCGUCUACAUCUCUAUUUGGACAGAAACCGGUGAGAGGGGUUUUCAUCCACCACCGCAAAUGCAAACAUCCUAAAAAAAUCCCAACUGCACAUUGUUCCACACGGAUGUAAUAUGUGCUGGUCGAAUGCUGAUUGUUUGAUAUGUGGGCUGGAAUAAGGAAGAUAGCAAUCUAAUCAGCCAAUCAAAUGGCAGCAACUCAAGGCAUGUCGACAUAGUCAUAGUGAACUGUUGAAGUUUAAUCCAAGCACCAGAAUCAAGAAGGAAAAUGAUAAGUUGAUUUGAAUGUGGCAUGGCUGUUGGUGCCAUGAUUGGGCUGGUCUGAAUGGAGAAAAUAUCUGGUGAGCAUCAGUUCUCUGUGUGAAAAUGCAUAGUUAAUCUAGGUCAGAGGGAGAAUGGCCAGACUGCAUCGAGGAUCAAGACAACAUUAAAAGUAACGACUCAUUAUGAGAAAGGUAAGCGGUAGAGAAUCUCUGAAUGCUUCAUGGGCACUAUUCCUGUGAACUAAGAACAGAAAAACGAGGCUACAGUUCGGAUCAGCUGAUCGACAUUGGACGGUAUAACUGUAAGAAUGUUGCCCUGUCUGAUAAGUCCCAAUUUCUGGUGUGAUGGAGCCGUCCUGCAUUCCUUUCAGCAGGUCUGCCUGGUGAUUCCACUGCUCUCUAAUGGCUUUGACAGUCACCAGAUCACUGUUCAAUAAAGCAUCACUGGGAUGUGGUGGAAAAGGAGAUGCACGUCCUGGAUAUGCAGUUGAAAAAAACUGCAUGAACUGUGUGAUUCUGUCAUGUCAAUAUGGACCAAAAUGUCUGAGCAAUAUUUCCAGCACCUCGUUAAAUCUACACCAUGAUGAAG